rnacentral:rRNA from 1 species
AAGACCUUGCACUUUUGGAGCGGCCGAUGUCUGAUUAGCUAGUUGGUAAGGUAAAGGCUUACCAAAGCUUCGAUCAGUAGCUGGUCUGAGAGGACGGCCAGCCACACUGGGACUGAGACACGGCCCAGACUCCUACGGGAGGCAGCAGUGGGGAAUUUUGGACAAUGGGGGCAACCCUGAUCCAGCCAUGCCGCGUGAGUGAAGAAGGCCGGGUUGUAAAGCUCUUUCAGCCGGGAAGAAACGGUUGCGGUUAAUACUCGCAAUUNCGUGAUUCAUGACGGUACCGGAAGAAGAAGCACCGGCUAACUACGUGCCAGCAGCCGCGGUAAUACGUAGGGUGCGAGCGUUAAUCGGAAUUACUGGGCGUAAAGCGUGCGCAGGUGGUUUUGUAAGUCAGAUGUGAAAGCCCCGGGCUCAACCUGGGAACU